CGACGAGCGGGGUGGCAACUCCGAUGGCGAGCCAUCCUUCAAGUGGCUGAAUGAGAGAGAGGGGGUGCGGCGUGAGGGGGUGCGAGAGGCUUGCGGCGCUUCACUUCGUACACAGUAGAGAGGGAGACGCGUGAGAGAGUGAUUUAAGAUGGCAACACGUUUCAGAAUACCCAUAGCCGACCGAUUUCUUGGUCAAGUAACGAGCUUAGCUCACAUUGCUAAUGCAAACAAGAUUGUAAAGGAGAAGCUUACGCCAAAACAGUUAGACAUGUUCAAGAGAAUAACUUUUGGGUGAUUUGUAGACAUUAACAUGGUGUUUAACAACCCAAUUAUCCAUCACAAGUUGUUGAGAGAAGUGAAGAGAACGAGAUUAGACUUAAUGUCAUUCUCUAUUUGUGGAAAGGUUGUCACUUCUUCAAAUGAUGAUUUUUUGUUGAUGACUAGUUUGUGGCGAUCCCCAACACGAGUUGAUCAAAAUCAGUAGUCCUCGUAUGAACUUGCAAUCGAGUAUUUUGGUAAUCGAGUGGCGAAUGACACCUUACAUAUCCGUCAACUUGAAGAAAAAUACAAGGAGUUGGAGUUUGAAAAUGAUGAGGAUGCUACGAAGAUCACAACAGUCUACUAUACUGAGGUUGCAAUGAUGGGAAAAAAACAAACAGAAAAAUGCAGUGGACCUCAAACGUUUUAAGGACGUUCAAAAUUUAGAGUACUACAACAGUCUUGAUUAGGGUACCAUUAUUUGGGAGAGGACACUGGAUGCCCUAAAGACUGCGUUGAAUGAUAAAAGCAGUCUAUACAAAAUGAAGGUCAAAGGAAAUAAAAAUUACGUUGUGAAGUACUUUUUGUGUGGAUUUCCACAAGCGUUCCAGGUAUGGAUGUACGAGAUCCUAGUUGCAUCGAUAGUUGGGAACAUUGUGGAGCGAAGGAGCAAGGUGGCUUUGCCCUGCAUAUUUCGAUGGUCAUGCUCCCACUCAGUGUCCUUCAAAGUACUCGAGAGAGAGAUAUUCGAGUCUAACAAUGUACAUUUACUCUAUGCAUAAUGUGUUUAUCUGGUUGUUAAAUUGACACUAACCAGUUUACUGGGUUAUUAAUGCAAAUAAAGGUUAAAGAGGGUACUAUCAUGACAGAUGCUGAAAGGGAGUUUCGGGAUGCCCCAGUGGACAGACGACCUAUAUUUCAUCUACGUGCUGAUGAUGAUAGUUCUGAAAGUGGCAAUAGGUCGACUAGUGAUGGGGGUAGUUCUGAAAGUGAAAGUAACUGUGUGAUCAUCGUGGAGAUGACAAUGAUGAAGUUAUUAGGGUGGAGGGAGGGGAUGAACACGAGCAUUCUGAGUAUGAGGAUGCUGAAUGUGGAAAAGUGGAAGGAAGGACCUACACACCUAGUGAUGAUAUGUUCCAUGAUGUGAUGGGGGAUGUGCGCGAUGAGGACAAGUUGAACCAACUUGAUGUCUAUCUUGCAAACUCCU